ensembl:lncRNA
GUGAAGACAUUACAGGGUCAGUGCACUCAACAAGGGCAAGAGUUGAGUGACAUGCAGGCCACACUGAACCAUGAAGAGCACAGAGAGGAGGAAAUGAGAAAGGAGACCUUUACUCUCAGACAAAGGGUACUGGAAAGCGAUGCUGGCAGAGAAGCAACUCUGAAGGAGGUACAACACAAACACUGGCAUAAAUAUAGAAUCCACACUCACAUGCAGUAACACACUUAAACUGUUGGAACUGGUCUGUCUGUUAAAAGGCUGCAGGUUUUCAGCGGCAUGUAGCAGAACUGGAAGAAGCACAGUGCCAGGAGAAAGAGGUGCAGCAACAAUGGCAUGAUAAUCUUCAGGAGAGCCAAGUGAAGCAGUGUGUGGAGGUUGCUCGCUUGGAGUGGGCACUGCAGGAGGCCCAGGCCCAGCUCAAGGAGCUUGGGCUGAAGGUGAGUCUAGCAGAGGCCCGGGCCCAGGGGCUGGAAGAGCAGCUGGGACAGAAUGAAGCCAUACGGAUAAAUCUUGAGCUCAGGUUGAAUGUUCUCAGUUCUACCCUAAGACGUACACUUGGAAGCGGACGUGGAAGACAGUCGCCCGCACCAUGGAGAACUCGAUCUGGGGAACGGACGGAGUCACUCACCAUGGAGAACUCGAUCACCUGUGAAAGGUGAAAUUAUGUCAGAUGAACCUGGGGUGAGUGGAUUGCCGGUGUGUUCUCUGUCCCCCUCCCGCAGAGAGGAAGGAGAAUUGGAUUUGGACUCAGUUCACAUGUUGCUGCGUAGCUUCCAGCAAGAGCUCAGGGACACAGAGAGAGAGCGGGAUGAGGCACAAGCACAAGAUGAGGCGGUUCAGCGUGGGGAGUUACAGAAUAGGAUUAUGAGUGAAGAGCUGGCCAAAAUGAAGAACAGCCAACAGAUAACUGAGGCAGAGGCCAAAGCACUGCAGGUUAACACUCAUAUAUUCUACACUAACACAAAGAUAGUUUGCAGAGUUCAGUGCAGGAGUGAUCAGCAACUUUUCAGGACAGAAGUUAAACACUGUUUUAAAAGAUGUAUGCAUUAUCAUUACACAUGUUUGGGGAAAAAAGGUUUUUUUUUUUGUUUUUUUUUUACUCAACUAUGAAAACACUCAAUGGGAUUUUUACUUCUGGAAUCCAAGCGAUGCACCAACUCUCUCACACAGCACCACAGUCAGAUAUAACGAGUAGGAAUUAUCAAGUGUUCACUGCCACUCCACAAUAAAAAUCUUUGAUGAGUUGCA